rnacentral:rRNA from 1 species
GACGAACGCUGGCGGCGUGCUUAACACAUGCAAGUCGAACGGAAAGGCCCUGCUUUUGUGGGGUGCUCGAGUGGCGAACGGGUGAGUAACACGUGAGUAACCUGCCCUUGACUUUGGGAUAACUUCAGGAAACUGGGGCUAAUACCGGAUAGGAGCUCCUGCUGCAUGGUGGGGGUUGGAAAGUUUCGGCGGUUGGGGAUGGACUCGCGGCUUAUCAGCUUGUUGGUGGGGUAGUGGCUUACCAAGGCUUUGACGGGUAGCCGGCCUGAGAGGGUGACCGGCCACAUUGGGACUGAGAUACGGCCCAGACUCCUACGGGAGGCAGCAGUGGGGAAUAUUGCACAAUGGGCGGAAGCCUGAUGCAGAAACGCCGCGGGGGGGAUGACGGCCUUGGGGUUGUAAACCGCUUUCGCCGGGGACGAAGCGUGAGUGACGGUAAUGGGUAAAGAAGCACCGGCUAACUACGU